AACGAACGCUGGCGGCGUGCUUAACACAUGCAAGUCGAGCGCGAACGUCUCUUCGGAGAUUAGUAGAGCGGCGCACGGGUGAGUAACACGUGAGUAACCUACCCCUGGAUCUGGAAUAACUUCGGGAAACUGAAGCUAAUGCCGGAUAAGCCCACAAUGUCAUACGGCGAAGUGGGAAAAGAGGGCUUCGGCUCUCGUCUGGGGAUGGGCUCGCGGUCCAUUAGCUAGAUGGUGGGGUAACGGCCUACCAUGGCUUUGAUGGAUAGCUGGUCUGAGAGGACGAUCAGCCACACUGGGACUGAGACACGGCCCAG
rnacentral:rRNA from 1 species